rnacentral:rRNA from 1 species
GACGAACGCUGGCGGCGUGCUUAACACAUGCAAGUCGAACGAUGAAGCCGGAGCUUGCUCUGGUGAAUUAGUGGCGAACGGGUGAGUAACACGUGAGUAACCUGCCCUUGACUCUGGGAUAACUGCGGGAAACUGUAGCUAAUACCGGAUACGACACCUUGGGGCAUCCCAGGGUGUGGAAAGAAUUUCGGUCAAGGAUGAGCUCGCGGCCUAUCAGCUAGUUGGUGAGGUAAUGGCUCACCAAGGCGACGACGGGUAGCCGGCCUGAGAGGGUGACCGGCCACACUGGAACUGAGACACGGUCCAGACUCCUACGGGAGGCAGCAGUGGGGAAUAUUGCACAAUGGGCGAAAGCCUGAUGCAGCAACGCCGCGUGAGGGAUGAAGGCCUUCGGGUUGUAAACCUCUUUUAGCAGGGAAGAAGCGAAAGUGACGGUACCUGCAGAAAAAGCACCGGCUAACUACGUGCCAGCCGCCGCUGUAA